GUGUUCGCUUCGGCAGCACAUAUACUAGAAUUGGAACAUUCCAGAGAAGAUUAGCAUGGCCCCUGCACAGAUAACAUGCAAAUUUGUGAAGCAUUCAUUCUAUAUUUUU